rnacentral:rRNA from 1 species
UACGUAGGGUGCGAGCGUUGUCCGGAAUUAUUGGGCGUAAAGAGCUCGUAGGCGGUUCGUCGCGUCGGCUGUGAAAACCCGGAGCUCAACUCCGGGCCUGCAGUCGAUACGGGCGGACUUGAGUGUUGCAGGGGAGACUGGAAUUCCUGGUGUAGCGGUGAAAUGCGCAGAUAUCAGGAGGAACACCGGUGGCGAAGGCGGGUCUCUGGGCAACUACUGACGCUGAGGAGCGAAAGCUAGGGGAGCGAACGGG